UACGAAGGGGGCUAGCGUUGUUCGGAAUUACUGGGCGUAAAGCGCACGUAGGCGGACUAUUAAGUCAGGGGUGAAAUCCCGGGGCUCAACCCCGGAACUGCCUUUGAUACUGGUAGUCUCGAGUCCGGAAGAGGUGAGUGGAAUUCCGAGUGUAGAGGUGAAAUUCGUAGAUAUUCGGAGGAACACCAGUGGCGAAGGCGGCUCACUGGUCCGGUACUGACGCUGAGGUGCGGAAGCGUGGGGAGCAAACAGG
rnacentral:rRNA from 1 species